rnacentral:rRNA from 1 species
CCUACGGGUGGCAGCAGUCGAGAAUCAUUCACAAUGGGCGAAACCCUGAUGGUGCGACGCCGCGUGGGGGAAUGAAGGUCUUCGGAUUGUAAACCCCUGUCAUGUGGGAGCAAAUUCAAAAGAGAGAACCACAAGACGCAGACACGAAGAACUCUGUGCCAGUAGCCGCGGUACUACAGAGGUACCAAGCGAUGUUAGGAAUCACUGGGCGUAAAGCGUGCGGAGGCGGUUUCGUAAGUCGAGUGUGAAAGGUGCGGGCUCAACCCGCGGACGGCACAUGAUACUGGGAGACUUGAGUGAUGGAGGGGUGAGCGGAAUUCUAGGUGGAGCAGUGAAAUGCGUAGAUAUCGGGAGGAACACUCGUGGCGAAGGCGGGUUCCUGGACAUUAACUGACGCUGAGGCACGAAGGCCAGGGGAGCGAAAGGGAUUAGAUACCCGAGUAGUC